rnacentral:rRNA from 1 species
GACGAACGCUGGCGGCGUGCUUAACACAUGCAAGUCGAACGGAAAGGCCUGCUUUCCCUUGUGGAUUGCGGGUACUCGAGUGGCGAACGGGUGAGUAACACGUGAGUGAUCUGCCCCCAACUUGGGUAUAAGCCUGGGAAACUGGGUCUAAUUCCCGAUAGGACUGCAGGGUGGUGCCUGUGGUGGAAAACGAUUUUCUAGUGGUUGGGGAUGAGCUCGCGGCCUAUCAGCUUGUUGGUGGGGUAAUGGCCUACCAAGGCGGCGACGGGUAGCCGGCCUGAGAGGGUGGACGGCCACAUUGGGACUGAGAUACGGCCCAGACCCCUACGGGAGGCAGCAGUGGGGAAUAUUGCACAAUGGGCGGAGGCCUGAUGCAGCGACGCCGCGUGGGGGAUGACGGCCUUCGGGUUGUAAACUCCUUUCGACCGCGAGGAAGCCACCUGGUUGGAAGGGUGGUGACGGUAGUGGUAGAAGAAGCACCGGCUAACUACGUG